rnacentral:rRNA from 1 species
AGUUUGAUCAUGGCUCAGAUUGAACGCUGGCGGCAUGCGUAACACAUGCAAGUCGAACGGUGUUUGGUGCUUGCACCAGACAUAGUGGCGGACGGGUGAGUAAUGCGUAGGAAUCUGUCUUAGAGAGGGGGACAACCCGAGGAAACUUGGGCUAAAACCGCAUAUUCUCGAGAGAGGAAAGCAGGGGACCGGAAACGGCCUUGUGCUCUAAGGUGAGCCUACAUCGGAUUAGCUAGUUGGUAGGGUAAAAGCCUACCAAGGCGAUGAUCUGUAGCUGGUCUGAGAGGACGGACAGCCACACUGGGACUGAGACACGGCCCAGACUCCUACGGGAGGCAGCAGUGGGGAAUAUUGGACAAUGGGGGGAACCCUGAUCCAGCGAUGCCGCGUGUGUGAAGAAGGCCUGCGGGUUUGUAAAGCACUUUCAGUGGGAAAGAGAAGCGUCUUGUGAAUAAUGGGACGUGGAGACGUUACUCACAGAAGAAGCACCGGCUAACUCUGUG